rnacentral:lncRNA from 7 species
AACAGUGAGCUGGAUUGCAGAUAGAUGGACUCCCUGUUCCCUCAUACACAAGAAACAGCUGCCUCCUCCCCCUGGAGAAUAGUUUGGAGUGUGUGAUGGGGAUGUAAUAUGACAAGCUAGAUUGAAGUUUAAAAGGACAGAAGAAUUUCCGUUGCUUGAGAUGGAGGAAAAUGGUGUUGAAACUUGCAGAAUUUAUGGACUGCUGGGAAAUAGGGUUAUUUCUGAGAGCAGCAUAACCAGAUGGCUUCUAACGGUGGGUGAAAUUUUCUCCGUUAUGUUUUUGGCACUGAGCUAGAGGGACGGAGUCCAGAAGUCCACCACCAAAACAACAGAUAUUUAAAUUGGACUGGGACUGAGAUUACAGCCUGCAAACAGAACUUUUGAAAUUGAAGCAGAUUUCAUUAAUAGCAAAGGAAAUGCCUAUUUAGAGUGGGUCUGGUGGAACAAAAAGGACACAAAACAAUGAAAAAAAGAGUCUUUGUGAGCAGCCCCGCAGAACAAUGAGGAGGUUGGCCUUCCUCCAGCCUCCCGGCCGGCUGUGCAAAGCAACUGGCCUUCCCACACCUCCCUUAUUUAUCACAGGGUGCUGGAAAUGGGAUGGUGGCUGCUGGCAUCUCCCGCUGGGCCAAUCUGCAGCCCAGGGUGCAGAGAAGCAAUGUUUCUGCUGGGGCUGGAAGCACAGCCAUUAAUAGGGCUUGGGGAUAGGGAGCAUCUGUCCGUGACAGAAAUUCCUGCUGGGAGCACGAUGUCACAGCCUAAAGGUUUCAAUUUCUCCUCGCUCAUCUUUUUCCUGGUUCAUUUGGCAGACCAACCUGAAGUGUAAAAUGCAAAAGGAAUUUGCUCUUCCUUUAACUGGCCAGUAAGCAAAUAAAUCGGUGCUUUUGUCUCG